GACGAACGCUGGCGGCGUGCUUAACACAUGCAAGUCGAACGGAAAGGCCCUGCUUUUGUGGGGUGCUCGAGUGGCGAACGGGUGAGUAACACGUGAGUAACCUGCCCUUGACUUUGGGAUAACUUCAGGAAACUGGGGCUAAUACCGGAUAGGAGCUCCUGCUGCAUGGUGGGGGUUGGAAAGUUUCGGCGGUUGGGGAUGGACUCGCGGCUUAUCAGCUUGUUGGGGGGGUAGUGGCUUACCAAGGCUUUGACGGGUAGGCGGCCUGAGAGGGUGACCGGCCACAUUGGGACUGAGAUACGGCCCAGACUCCUACGGGAGGCAGCAGUGGGGAAUAUUGCACAAUGGGCGGAAGCCUGAUGCAGCAACGCCGCGUGCGGGAUGACGGCCUUCGGGUUGUAAACCGCUUUCGCCUGUGACGAAGCGUGAGUGACGGUAAUGGGUAAAGAAGCACCGGCUAACUACGUG
rnacentral:rRNA from 1 species